AAAAAAAAACUUAAGCAUCAAUUAUCAAUCUCAUCGUCUUGUGCUUCCAAAUCUUGAAAUUAUUCAUCGAUAUCAUUAUUAUUUAUCUAACAAAAAAAAAAGUAUGUUCAACUAGUAAUAAGUACAAACAUUCCCUGUUUAGAACAAAUAUCAGACAUGGCAAAUGACAUAAAAAAACAAAACUCACAUAGCCCAUAGUAAAACGAAGGACAAGAAAAGAUUGAAAUCCAAUGCAGCUCCACUAAUCCAAAUCACCAGGUCUCAGGAUCAGAAAUCGAAAACUGAGCAUAAAUACUUAAUCACGUAAACACUACUAAAAAAAUAAAAAUUAGUGAGGGAAAUUUAGUGAGGGAAAACAUGAAAUCCCUCUCUAAUUCCGUCACUAAAUUUUGCGACCAAGAAAUUUUUGAGGAAUUUUAUGUUUUCCGUCACAAAUUUCCCUCCCUAAUUUUGCUUUUCCUAGUAGUGAAACUACACAAGCUUAUAAUCUGAUCUUUGGAUAUUCGUUCCAUGUUCCUGCCUUCCAUAGUUUUCUAAUCAUACUAUUUGAAUAAUAGUAAAGCCAAACAAAGUUAUGUGAAUUAUGAAACAAAAUAAACAAAUACUAGUUUCUAAACUUUUUAAUUAUUGCAAUCAGAGACUAAUAUUGCUUGAUGAAUAAACACGAGCAGUGCUUAAUCUCAUCUCCUUGUUUAUAGACUAAGAGCUUAUGGUCAAUGACUUUUCCUCCUUCAACAUGGGAAAAAUUCUACAGUUCAUUUGAAAUUUAGAGGGUGUGAUAAAUAAAACUAGCGAGGUACGUAGUAAUUGACGUGUCAUUUGAAACAAACCUGAUGAACUUAUGAACUUGGCCUUGUGCCUAAUUGCUCCAACUCAUGUAACAUAUGAAGAACUAUCACAAUCAUAUUGGAUGAUGGUGUCAUGAAAAACUCUCACUAAAGCAUAAGCUUAAGGUCAAAACUAGAGCUAGGUAAAUAACCUAUUAUAAUAGAGACAAAAAAUAUCUAGAUGACACUUGUUAGUGGAAUAUAAAACAAAAGAAAAUCACUCUUGAACAUAAUAACAUCAGCAACUAGAUACCAAACAAAAUUCCUAGUUGUAUUUAUAUAUAGUUAAAUUUGAACCAAGAACAAGAUAAAUAAAAGCACAUAUUGAGACCUUCUCUUGAAGUACCACACCAACAUGGAGAACAUGUAGACUUACCACUUUGAUGC
rnacentral:lncRNA from 1 species